CUACGGGAGGCACCAGUGGGGAAUAUUGGACAAUGGGGGAAACCCUGAUCCAGCAAUGCCGCGUGUGUGAAGAAGGCCUGCGGGUUGUAAAGCACUUUCGGUUGGGAGGACUGCUUCUAGCACUAAUAUUGUUGGAAGUUGACGUUACCUUCAGAAGAAGCACCGGCUAACUCCGUGCCAGCAGCCGCGGUAAUACGGAGGAUGCAAGCGUUAAUUGGAAUUACUGGGCGUAAAGCGCGCGUAGGCGGCUAGAUCAGUCGGGUGUGAAAGCCCCGGGCUUAACCUGGGAACUGCAUCCGAUACUGUCUAGCUUGAGUACAGGAGAGGAGAGUGGAAUUCCACAUGUAGCGGUGACAUGCGUAGAUAUGUGGAGGAACACCAAUGGCGAAGGCAGCUCUCUGGCCUGAUACUGACGCUGAGGUGCGAAAGCGUGGGGAGCAAACAGGAUUAGAUACCCCCGUAGUC
rnacentral:rRNA from 1 species